rnacentral:piRNA from 1 species
UGGUAUCCUCGAACUCCCUCAAUAAGAC